rnacentral:rRNA from 1 species
GACGAACGCUGGCGGCGUGCCUAACACAUGCAAGUCGAGCGGGGAUUUAAGUGGAAGUUCUUCGGAAUGGAGAUUUAAAUUCUAGCGGCGGACGGGUGAGUAACGCGUGAACAAUCUGUCCCGGACAGGGGGAUAACACUUGGAAACAGGUGCUAAUACCGCAUAAGACCACGGCCUCGCAUGGGGCUGAGGUAAAAGGAGCAAUCCGGUUCGGGGUGAGUUCGCGUCCGAUUAGCUAGUUGGGGAGGUAACGGCCCACCAAGGCGACGAUCGGUAGCCGGCCUGAGAGGGUGAACGGCCACAUUGGAACUGAGAGACGGUCCAAACUCCUACGGGAGGCAGCAGUGGGGAAUAUUGGGCAAUGGGCGAAAGCCUGACCCAGCAACGCCGCGUGAGGGAAGAAGGUUUUCGGAUUGUAAACCUCUGUCCUAUGGGACGAAGGAAGUGACGGUACCAUAGGAGGAAGCCCCGGCUAACUACGUG